AGUCCCCCCUAAGAGCAGCGACUUUUUUUUUUUAAUUUGAUUUAUAUGCCGCCCUUCUCCGGAGACUCAGGGCGGCUUACAAUGCGUUAAGCAAUGGCCUUCAUACUUUUGUAUAUUUAUACAAAGUCAGCUUAUUGCCCCCACAAACUGGGUCCUCAUUUCACCUACCUUAGAAAGGAUGGAAGGCUGAGCCAACCUUGAGCCUGGUGAGAUUCGAACUUGCAGACAGCUGGUAUUAAUCACAAUGCUUUUUUAGUCUGCUGAGCCACCAGGCCCCUCUUCUUUGGAGAGAAGCUGCUGCUGAACCCUAAUUUUCCAUUCUAACCUCCUCCCUUCCAACUUUGAAGCUGAAUAUUCAUUCAGGCGGAACAAAGCGGAGGUUGCCAGAGCCAGUUUGGUCCAGAGAUUCAAGGCACCAAGGAACAGCAGCUGGGCCAUGUUUUUUGUAUCAGAACUAUGUAAAAGAAAGGAGCGGAACUCUGCCCACCCUGAGCAUCAUUUGCUGCAUUAAAUUGUGAUAGCUUUCCUCUGUCUUGAUGCUUUUAAGAUAGAAACAAAAAUCUCUGGAGAUCCAAUUAACAUCUCCCAUGUGUCACACAAGAAUUCUCAUUGCCCCCAAAUCCUUUUAAGAACCAGAUCAUUUAUCUACAAGUUAAAAAAUGAACACCAGGGGAUCCAACUUUGAGCAUCAUUCCAUAAAUUCCUGUUGGAAUCAUACUGAGUAUUUUCCAGUCCUGAUGAAAAAGCGCCUUCUUAAAGAGAAGCUACAUAUUUCUUAUCAGAAAGUCGUAUCCUUCAACAUGUCUGAACAAUUGGGAAAAGUCUGGAUUUAUGCAGCAGAGAAUUUUCUAACAAUUUAGUAACAUCGAAAAAGCUGCAUGCUAUUUGGCUAUGAUUGAUUCUUUUAAUCAGUUACUGAGAGGUUUAAAAUACAGGAUGUGCUUAUUGGAUAAACUUUGUUCAAAAUCUUUUACCAUUAAAAAUACAUUUUUGUAUCAUU